rnacentral:misc_RNA from 1 species
GACAACUUCUGACGGUGGAUCUCUUGGCUCGUGCAUCGAUGAAGAACGCAGCAAGCUGCGAUACCUAGUGUGAAUUGCAGAAUUCAGUGAAUCAUCGAGUCUUUGAAYGCAAAUGGCGCUCCCGGGGUCUCCUCGGGAGCAGGUCUGUCCGAGAGUCUGCCAACCAAACAAGUUGUCAUACACGGAUGGUGGUGACAAGAGUGAGGAGCUGUAGGGCCACCGUAUCUGCACUCCUUCAAAAACAUGCUAGCAAAGCACCGUGACAGCCCAGUCCCCAGUGGACGAGACAGUCGUCACAACGGCAUGAAAAGUUGUUUCGGUGUCUCCGUGGCUUGGGAACUUGUGGCUUGUCGUUGGUGCCGAUCAGCCAGCAUCGAGAAUCC